CUCUUUCCAUCGAAGCACAAUUCUUAUACAUAUCCCUGUCCCACCCCAACUCAGCAUCACAUAGCUCUCUCUGAAACACCUGGCUACUGGGGAGAUUUAAAUCACUUUAAUCUAUGUAGAGGGUAGAGAAAAUAUCUUUCGUCUUAGAGAAAGAGAUGCGAUACAAAAGAAGACAUCUUAGAAGAGAGGGAAAAUAAAAAUGAAAACAAAAAGUGCCAGCGAUAGCAUAGUUCUGAGACAAAUCCACCCCAGGUCUUUGAUGGGAAGGUGGAUUUUCCAACCAGUGACUUGCCAGUGUCCUGUGUCCCACCUGGUCUUCAUUACUUACACGUAAGUCUGUGCUGCCAGCCCCAGGCAGGAUGUCCCAGCCCUCAUAUUGCAGGCCAGAUGCUAACAAGGGAGUGAUCGAUCAACUGCGAUGCAGCCCACUCCACCCAGCACAGCCACAUUACCUGGAGAGGAGCAAUUAAGUCCCUUUGGUUUCCUUGGAAAUGUUCCAUCCGUCCGUCCCAACUGCCCUGACUCUUGAGAAAUGCCGUAAAUGGUAGAGAUGCUACUGGGAGACAAUGCCUUUAUCUUCCUAUGGAAAGUUUCCAGAAUACGAAGUCAGCCUACAAGAUGGAUUUGCAUUUGCCAAGCCUGCCUGGGCUGAUGGGAAGGAAAACCACUGAUCUGUCAGGAACGUAGAGAUGACUCAAAGACAGGGACGAAGAUGACCCAUCAGGCUGAGCCCUACAGCCAAGUUCUUGCAAACCCAGCUGAAAGUUGUUCUGACUAAGGCCUUUGUGCUUGGACCUCAAAGGUUCAUCUGGAAUCAGACAUGCCUGAACUUGGCUCAGAGCUCCCUCGUGGAAAAGAACACUGUAAACUUCAUUUGCUCUGUCAGCACAAGGUCAGAUGGUAUCGUAUGGUACAAAUCAGAUUAUAAC
ensembl:lncRNA